UACGUAGGGUGCGAGCGUUGUCCGGAAUUAUUGGGCGUAAAGAGCUCGUAGGCGGUGUGUCACGUCGGCCGUGAAAACCUGCAGCUUAACUGUGGGCGUGCGGUCGAUACGGGCAUCACUGGAGUUCGGCAGGGGAGACUGGAAUUCCUGGUGUAGCGGUGAAAUGCGCAGAUAUCAGGAGGAACACCGGUGGCGAAGGCGGGUCUCUGGGCCGAUACUGACGCUGAGUGCGCGAAAGUGUGGGGAGCGAACAGG
rnacentral:rRNA from 1 species